UGUGUAUAUAUAUGAAGAUAUCUGACCUCCUCAAUUACAACACACAACAACUUAGUUCCUACUUACUUGUACCACGUACUAAUACAGAAGCAUCAAUCUCACCUUUUCAAGCUCAAAAAAAUGGCUCAACUUGCCGCUCAGAGUCAGGGUGUUGAGAAAUACGGGCCUUAUGGGUGUCAGACUGGAAAACCAUGGUCUAUGAUGCUUGAACCAUGUGAAAGUUUAUGUGAAUUAAUCAUAUAAACUGGUGCUGUUGUUGAUUCAAUUACGUUUGUCACCACAAAGUGUAGUCGAAAGUUUGGUGGUAAUGGCGGAAAUGCUGAACACAAGGUUACACUCCAAUGUGACGAACAUGUAACCAAUAUAAGUGGGGCUAUUGGAGAAUGGCACAAAAAUGUUGACGUAACCAAGUUAAAGAUUCAUACUAACUUGUGUAAGGAUGGUUAUGGACCUUAUGGAGGUGGACCGUACACCAAGUAUUUGUAUGAUUUUAGCUCAGAAGUACCAUCAAAUGGCCGUGUUGUCGGAUUCUUCGGAACAUUGGAAAACAACUACGUUCCGUCCAUUGGACUCUACGUCAAAAAGAUCUUUAACUGUUUUACAAAGGGGGCCAGUAGAAGAAUUAAACAAUAUAGUAGGUGAUAUAUACAAUUACAUUAAAAUUAUAGGGGGGAACUAAAAACACACUACGGGAAUUUUUGUUGGGGGGCGAGCCCACCACGACAAUCAAGAAGAGUCAGGGUGUUGAGAAAUACGGGCCUUAUGGGUGUCAGACUGGGCAACCAUGGUCUAUGAUGCUUGAACCAUGUGAAAGUUUAUAUGAAUUAAUCAUAUAAACUGGUGCUGUUGUUGAUUUAAUUACGUUUGUCACCACAAAGUGUCGUUCAAAGAUUGGCGGUAAUGGCGGAAAUGCUGAACACAAGGUUACACUCCAAUGUGGCGAACAUGUAACCAAUAUAAGUGGGGCUAUUGGAGAAUGGCACAAAAAUGUUGACGUAACCAAGUUAAAGAUUCAUACUAACUUGUGUAAGGAUGGUUAUGGACCUUAUGGAGGUGGACCGUACACCAAGUAUUUGUAUGAUUUUAGCUCAGAAGUACCAUCAAAUGGCCGUGUUGUCGGAUUCUUCGGAACAUUGGAAAACAACUACGUUCAGUCCAUUGGACUCUACGUCAAAAAGGAGUGCUAAUGCUCUAAACUUCUUGCGGAUGUUGCUCAAGUCUUUGGCUACCUUAAAAGCCAUAUGCUUUCUGAAAAAAUACAAUAGUCCGCAUGUACUACGUACUACCUAAUAUACUACUAAUAAUUUAUGUACUGCUUUAUUAAUAAGUUUCCACGAUGAUCAAUAUGUAUGUUCCGUGGAAUUUCUUUGCUUUCAAAAAGCCACAUAUCAUGUACACUACAAAGUGGCCUCUCUCCUCAAGUGUGGUUGUUUCUAAUCGCGAACAUGAGUGAGUGUGUUGCAUCUUGUAUCGUUUUCGGUUACAAUAUAAUAUUAGCUUUUCUUUACGUGAUGUGGCGAUGUCACUAUGGAAUUUAGAAUUAAAAUAAGCCAACUUUUACUUAUUGUAUUAUUUUAAUUAAAAAUUUAUUAGAUAAAUUAACCUUA